UGAGUAACGCGUGAGAACCUGCCUCGAGGAGGGGGAUAACAGCGGGAAACGGCUGCUAAUACCCCAUAUGCCGAAAGGUGAAAAGAAAUUUGCCUUGAGAGGGGCUCGCGUCCGAUUAGCUAGUUGGUGAGGUAAGAGCUUACCAAGGCGACGAUCGGUAGCUGGUCUGAGAGGAUGAGCAGCCACACUGGGACUGAGACACGGCCCAGACUCCUACGGGAGGCAGCAGUGGGGAAUUUUCCGCAAUGGGCGAAAGCCUGACGGAGCAACGCCGCGUGGGGGAAGAAGGCCUUUGGGUUGUAAACUCCUUUUCUCAGGGAAGAAGUUCUGACGGUACCUGAGGAAUCAGCCUCGGCUAACUCCGUGCCAGCAGCCGCGGUAAUACGGAGGAGGCAAGCGUUAUCCGGAAUUAUUGGGCGUAAAGCGUUCGUAGGCGGCAUUUCAAGUCUGCUGUCAAAGGCCGAGGCUCAACUUCGGAAAGGCAGUGGAAACUGAAAAGCUAGAGGUCGGUAGGGGCAGAGGGAAUUCCCAGUGUAGCGGUGAAAUGCGUAGAUAUUGGGAAGAACACCGGUGGCGAAAGCGCUCUGCUGGGCCGAACCUGACGCUGAGGGACGAAAGCUAGGGGAGCGAAUGGGAUUAGAUACCCCAGUAGUCCUAGCCGUAAACGAUGGAGACUAGGUGUUGCCUGUAUCGACCCGGGCAGUGCCGAAGCCAACGCGUUAAGUCUCCCGCCUGGGGAGUACGCACGCAAGUGUGAAACUCAAAGGAAUUGACGGGGGCCCGCACAAGCGGUGGAGUAUGUGGUUUAAUUCGAUGCAACGCGAAGAACCUUACCAGGGCUUGACAUCCCGCGAAUCUCGGCGAAAGUUGAGAGUGCCUACGGGAACGCGGAGACAGGUGGUGCAUGGCUGUCGUCAGCUCGUGUCCUGAGAUGUUGGGUUAAUUCCCGCAACGAACGCA
rnacentral:rRNA from 1 species